UACGGAGGGGGCUAGCGUUGUUCGGAAUUACUGGGCGUAAAGCGCACGUAGGCGGCUUGAUUAGAUAGAGGUGAAAGCCCAGGGCUCAACCCUGGAAUUGCCUUUAAGACUGCAUCGCUUGAACAUCGGAGAGGUAAGUGGAAUUCCGAGUGUAGAGGUGAAAUUCGUAGAUAUUCGGAAGAACACCAGUGGCGAAGGCGCAUACUGG
rnacentral:rRNA from 1 species